UUGAACGCUGGCGGCAUGCUUUACACAUGCAAGUCGGACGGCAGCACAGAGAAGCUUGCUUCUUGGGUGGCGAGUGGCGAACGGGUGAGUAAUAUAUCGGAACGUACCGAGUAAUGGGGGAUAACUAAUCGAAAGAUUAGCUAAUACCGCAUAUUCUCUGAGGAGGAAAGCAGGGGACCUUCGGGCCUUGCGUUAUUCGAGCGGCCGAUAUCUGAUUAGCUAGUUGGUGGGGUAAAGGCCUACCAAGGCGACGAUCAGUAGCGGGUCUGAGAGGAUGAUCCGCCACACUGGGACUGAGACACGGCCCAGACUCCUACGGGAGGCAGCAGUGGGGAAUUUUGGACAAUGGGCGCAAGCCUGAUCCAGCCAUGCCGCGUGUCUGAAGAAGGCCUUCGGGUUGUAAAGGACUUUUGUCAGGGAAGAAAAGGCUGUUGCUAAUAUCAAUAGCUGAUGACGGUACCUGAAGAAUAAGCACCGGCUAACUACGU
rnacentral:rRNA from 1 species